GACGAACGCUGGCGGCGUGCUUAACACAUGCAAGUCGAACGGUAAGGCCCUUCGGGGUACACGAGUGGCGAACGGGUGAGUAACACGUGGGUGGUCUGCCCUGCACUUCGGGAUAAGCCUGGGAAACUGGGUCUAAUACCGGAUAGGACCACUGCCUGCAUGGGUGGUGGUGGAAAGCUUUUGCGGUGUGGGAUGGGCCCGCGGCCUAUCAGCUUGUUGGUGGGGUGAUGGCCUACCAAGGCGACGACGGGUAGCCGGCCUGAGAGGGUGACCGGCCACACUGGGACUGAGAUACGGCCCAGACUCCUACGGGAGGCAGCAGUGGGGAAUAUUGCACGAUGGGCGCAAGCCUGAUGCAGCGACGCCGCGUGAGGGAUGACGGCCUUCGGGUUGUAAACCUCUUUCAGCACCGACGAAGCGCAAGUGACGGUAGGUGCAGAAGAAGGACCGGCCAACUACGUGCCAGCAGCCGCCGCCG
rnacentral:rRNA from 1 species